rnacentral:rRNA from 1 species
GACGAACGCUGGCGGCGUGCUUAACACAUGCAAGUCGAACGGAGUGGCGAACGGGUGAGUAACACGUGGGUGAUCUGCCUUGCUCUUCGGGAUAAGCUUGGGAAACUGGGUCUAAUACCGGAUAGUGCAGGUGGAGCUCGCGGCCUAUCAGCUUGUUGGUGGGGUAAUGGCCUACCAAGGCGUCGACGGGUAGCCGGCCUGGGAGGGUGUACGGCAACAUUGGGACUGAGAUACGGCGCAGACGCCUACGGGAGGCAGAAGUGGGGAAUAUUGCACAAUGGGCGGAAGUCUGAUGCAGAGACGCCGGGUGGGGGAUGAAGGCCUUCGGGUUGUAAACUCCUUUAGACAGGGACGCGGUACCUGUAUAAGAAGCACCGGCUAACUACGUGCCAGCAGCCGCGGUAAUAC